rnacentral:rRNA from 1 species
AUUGAACGCUGGCGGCAGGCUUAACACAUGCAAGUCGAACGAGGGGCGGACGGGUGAGUUAUGUGUGGGAAUCUGGCUUAUGGAGGGAGAUAACGUCGGGAAACUGUCGCUAAUACCACAUAACAUAGGAUGCGCCCAUGUGGGAUUAGGUAGGAGGUGGGGUAAUGGCACACCUAGGCGACGAUCCCUAGCUGGUCUGAGAGGAUGACCAGCCACACUGGGACUGAGACACGGCCCAGACUCCUACGGGAGGCAGCAGUGGGGAAUAUUGCACAAUGGGCGCAAGCCUGAUGCAGCCAUGCCGCGUGUAUGAAGAAGGCCUUCGGGUUGUAAAGUACUUUCAGUCAGGAGGCGUUACCCACAGAAGAAGCACCGGCUAACUCCGUGCCAGCAGCCGCGGUAAUUC